rnacentral:rRNA from 1 species
UAAAUACCGAGGGGCGCGAGGUAACUCUCUCUAAGGAACUCGGCAAAAUGGCCCCGUAACUUCGGGAGAAGGGGUGCCACCGCAAGGUGGUCGCAGUGAAGAGGCCCAGGCGACUGUUUACCAAAAACACAGGUCUCCGCUAAGUCGCAAGACGAUGUAUGGGGGCUGACGCCUGCCCAGUGCCGGAAGGUUAAGGAAGCUGGUCAGCGCAAGCGAAGCUAGCAACUGAAGCCCCGGUGAACGGCGGCCGUAACGAUAACGGUCCUAAGGUAGCGAAAUUCCUUGUCGGGUAAGUUCCGACCCGCACGAAAGGCGUAACGAUCUGGGCGCUGUCUCGGAGAGAGGCUCGGCGAAAUAGAAUUGUCUGUGAAGAUGCGGACUACGUGCACCCGGACAGAAAGACCCUAUGAAGCUUUACUGUAGCUUGGUAUUGUGCCCGGGCUCGCAAUGCGCAGGAUAGGUGGGAGGCUUUGAUCAUCGGCUUGCGGGUCGAUGUGAGCCAACGGUGAGAUACCACUCUUUGCGAGCUAGGGUUCUAACGGCCACCCGUCAUCCGGGGGCCGGACAGUACCUGGUGGGCAGUUUGACUGGGGCGGUCGCCUCCUAAAAGGUAACGGAGGCGCGCAAAGGUUUGCUCAGGCUGGUUGGAAAUCAGCCGACGAGUGUAAAAGCAGAAGCAAGCUUGACUGUGAGACCAACAAGUCGAACAGGGAGGAAACUCGGCUUUAGUGAUCCGACGGUUCUGAGUGGAAGGGCCGUCGCUCAACGGAUAAAAGUUACUCUAGGAUAACAGGCUGAUCUCCCCCAAGAGUUCACAUCGACGGGGAGGUUUGGCACCUCGAUGUCGGCUCAUCGCAACCUGGGGCUGAAGUCGGUCCCAAGGGUUGGGCUGUUCGCCCAUUAAAGCGGUACGCGAGCUGGGUUCAGAACGUCGUGAGACAGUUCGGUCCAUAUCCGGUGCACGCGCAGGAAUAUUGAGAGGAUUUCUCCCUAGUACGAGAGGACCGGGAGGAACGCACCUCUGGUGUACCAGUUAUCGUGCCAACGGUAAACGCUGGGUAGCCAUGUGCGGAGUGGAUAACCGCUGAAAGCAUCUAAGUGGGAAGCCCACCUCAAGAUGAGUAUUCCCAUGGCGUAAGCCAGUAAGGUCACGGGAAGAACACCCGUUGAUAGGCUCUAUGUGGAAGCGCAGUAAUGCGUGAAGCAGAGGAGUACUAAUAGACCGAGGGCUUGACC